CAAAACUGUAUUGUCACUUGCCACGCGGUGUGCUGAGAGCAGCUGCACCCAACCACUUGCAAAAGAACCAGGAUCAAGUGUCUGGAGGCUGAGUGAUGGCCAGCAUGGACAGGAAGGCUUUGAUACCACGCUUGGGUUGGGCCUGCAGGGAGGGGCCGGCAGUCUGGUUGCACCAUUCUUUAAAGUUGGAGGAGGAGACAGUCACAAGGAGGAAGCAAAUGGGAGACACAGCUUAUGCUGCUUUCUGAUUUUGCUCAGGAAGGGCUGGGCCUUUCCUCCACUGUUUAACAGACUAAAAUAAGAAGGCAACAAAAAGGCAGUGCAGUGGCAUUUGGCAGCCUGGGGUGUAUGUCAGGAGAACCCUGUGCAGUUCCAUUUCUUCUUCAAACUCGUCUGCCUUGGCUAAUAGUUGUGCAAUCAUGACCUGUACAUCACGCCUGUUUGUCUUGUCUCAGAUUUAUUUUUAAACCUUCCUGGCAAGGUAGAUAUGCUAAUAUUUCCUGAAACAUUCUUUACGGAUCCCCACGAUUAGGCUUCUUUUCUAUUAAAGAAAAAAUUCUUUAAAGUCUAUAUCUAAUAUCUCAAAUGAUUAUUAAAGAAAUCUUACUGCUUUGCUCUCCCUACCAAUCCAGAUCCUUGUUCUGCUUCUGCAGGACACGUUUUAUUUAGAGUCAGGGUGUUGUCGAGAAUGUAAACCCCUACAUCACUCGAUCCCCACUUUGAAAAAACCUGCAGUAGAAUUUCCCUUAGACCUAAGCACCAGAAACUUUUUAUUUCCUUUUAACUAGUACAUUUUUACAGAUGAUAAUGUGAUUCUUGUAACAAUUACAUUUCUUUUCCACUUUGGCACAGCUCAAGUAUAGUAAUUGUGUCAAACCCUGCAGCAUGUGGACCAAUUUUCAGAUUGGUCUCAUCACUACCUGUGUGUGUGUGUGUGUCCUGGUUUCAAAGUUUCAACUGGACAGGUGGAGUCAUUCAAGUGCUUUAAUAUUCACACAGAAGCAACCACCAAACUUUGUCUUCAUUUAUGGGUACAUGUAGCCUGAAAGUUAGUUGUUCGCUAAAUAUCUCUGGUUACCAUUUGACUUUAAUUUAAACAAUAAACUUUUCUAAAAGUGAUC
rnacentral:lncRNA from 1 species